GAAACAUCCCGGUUCGAGUAAACAUGACAAGGAGCUGCUAAAAAAGAGAGUCCUGUGAGGACAGCAGAAAACAGCAUUGGAAUCUGCUGACAGCGGAAGCUUGUAGGACAGGAAAAGAGGCUUUCAAUAGAAAUUUUUCAAAAGCACGAAUGUUUGAAAGUGCGAACCAGUGCUGAGGAAGCGCAGACACUGCAGAACAUGCUGGGGAACUACCUGGACCAUGAGAUAGUGGGUCUGAAUGGAAAAAUUCUCGGAGCCUAUCCAGUUGAACCUUCGGUAGAUGUGCAUCAAAAAGUCCUACCAAAAGCUUGAGGGAACAGCCGUUUAAUUCUAAAAGAUUCUUCGUUCCCCUCUGGGAUGGGCAGCAUAGACGUAAUCAGUACCGGAUGUUGGAUGUUCCAUGUUGGUUGAGCCAUGAUAGUUAUUCAGUAAAAUUAAAAAAAAAAAAUAUUCCGACC